UAGAUGUGCAUAUCAGUUUGUUCUUAACGGA
rnacentral:piRNA from 1 species